rnacentral:rRNA from 1 species
GACGAACGCUGGCGGCGUGCUUAACACAUGCCAGUCGAACGGACAGGCCCUGCUCUUGUUGGUUGCUCGAGAGGCGAACGCGUGAGUAACACGUGAGUAACCUGCCCUUGACUUUGGGAUAACUUCAGGGAACUGGGGCUAAUACCGGAUAGAAGCUCCUGCUGCAUGGGGGUGGUUGGAAAGUUUCGGCUGUUGGGGAUGGACUCGCGGCUUCUCAGCUUGUUGGUGGGGUAGUGAGUUACCAAGGCUUUGACGGGUAGCCGGCCUGAGAGGGUGAUCGGCCACACGGGAGCUGAACCGGGCACAAGAGGCCUACGGGAGGCACCAGUAGGGAACCGGCGGCAGCGGGCGAGAGCAUGGCAGAGCAAGGGGAAGCGUGAGGCAACAGCGCCGCGUGCGGGAUGCCGGGUUACUGGUUAUAAACCGCUGUCGAAGGUGACGAAGCGGGAGUGACGGUACUGAGUAAAGAAGCACCGGCUAACUACGUG